GCCCGGGUGGCGGAAUGGUAGACGCUGCGGACUUAAAAUCCGCUGUCCGAAAGGACGUGGGGGUUCGAGUCCCCCCCCGGGCACCA
rnacentral:tRNA from 1 species